UGUGUUACCUCGGGGUGCCUGGACGGCGGUUCAGGCUGAGAUGCUGAGCAAGAGGCGAACCCGUUGAACCUGAACCGGUUAAGACCGGCGGAGGGAAGGUCUGGGAGACUCCC
rnacentral:ncRNA from 2 species